rnacentral:rRNA from 1 species
UACAGAGGUCUCAAGCGUUGUUCGGAUUCAUUGGGCGUAAAGGGUGCGUAGGUGGCGCCGUAAGUCGGGUGUGAAAUCCUGAGGCUUAACCUCGGAACUGCAUUCGAUACUGCGGCGCUUGAGGACUGGAGAGGAGACUGGAAUUCAUGGUGUAGCAGUGAAAUGCGUAGAGAUCAUGAGGAAGACCAGUGGCGAAGGCGGGUCUCUGGGCCGAUACUGACGCUGAGGAGCGAAAGCGUGGGGAGCGAACAGG